rnacentral:lncRNA from 1 species
UCUUUUUAGGACUACACUCUCGGCAUAUGGAGGUUCCCAGGCUAGGGGUUGAAUCAGAUCUGUAGCAGCCAGCCUGUACCACAGCCACAACCAUGCCAGAUCCAAGCCACAUCUGCAACCAACACCUCAGCUCACAGCAAUGCCAGAUCUUUAACCCACUGAGCGAGGCCAGGAAUCAAACCUGCGUCCUCAUGGAUGCCAGUCAGAUUCAUUUCCACUGAGCCAUGCAGGAAACUCCCAUUUUCAUUCCCGACAUCAUUUACUAAGGUUGGUACUUAGCAUUCCACGAAUGUUGAAUGCGUAUAUAGUGAUCUUCUCAGGGUAAGUGAGGAAAGGGAUAAAGGAAGGAUCCUUAUGUAAAUAUUAGGACAAUAAUGUUAGAUUCCCUACUCAUACUCUCCACAAAAAUAAAACCAAUAUGAAUUGAAGGUUUAAGUAUUAAAAAGAAAUGCUUUUUAAAGUACUAACAAAAUAGUUUAUAACCUACUGUUGUUGGAAGCAGUCAUACAAACCAAAUUUACAGUGCAGUGUGGGACGGGCUGAUGUGUGUUAAAGGAGCAUCUGAGGCAGGCUGGGGGCUCCUAGAGAAGUGACGUCUAAGCUAAGUUCUUUUUUUUUUUUUUUUUGUAUUUUUAGGGCUGCACUCUCGGCAUAUGGAGGUUUUAUGAGAGGCUAUCAUUUGUCAUGUAUAAUGAUAAAGAAAAGUCACUUGGUUUCAAAAAUGUGGUCAGGAGAGGGCAGUCAUAAAAAGUUCCAGUACUUUUUAAAUCAUCCAUUUUAAAGACACCUGUCUUCGGUCACUUAUGUACUUUCUUCCAACAUCUGAUAGGAUAAAUUGCAAGAAACUGAUCAAAUAAUAUCAUCAGUAACAUACCCCAAGAACUUCUAUAGUCAUCUAUUUCCUGAGUUAUAACUGUGUGUUAUUUAUGACUCCUGUCAAAAAUGCCUUGGGGUUUCUGCUCCUCAAUUCCAGAGCAGUUUAUUUCCCCCCAAAUGUGCCCAUGUUUUACAGCAAGGUCCACAGCAAUAAAGCAAGAAAUCAGAAAAAUCAGCAUUUGAUAUCUACAGUUGAGCAUUUUCUGCUACCUGGGACAAUCCAGAGGAGAUCACAGACGGGGUCUCGGUGACCUUGCAGCAGCUGCAAAUCACUGUGAUCUGAAUUAUAAUAGGCUCCUCUUCAAUAAUACAUUACAGACUCAAUACACUUAGGCGUCCUCAGGAUUUCUCAGUAGGAACCAAAAUUAUUCCAGCACACACCACAUUUUUCUUAUCACACAGCUUCCAUCAAUACAUUUAUGAUCUCUUUAAAGUCCACAAUAGAGGGCACACCUGUGCAUCAUGCCUACAUUUAUCCACAAGUGCUCAGAUAGAUACGUAAGUCAAUAAAUUCUAAAUAAAAGAACUAACUAAAAUUCUUAUCCAAAGGGUGAAUGCACGGCUGCUCACAUUCAAGAUUUGUCCUAAUGGAAACUGAGUUAGAAACCAGACAAAAGCAAGCCAGCGGAGGUCAGCUGUGAAUGUCAAGGCGAUGAAGGGGCUGCCGUAGCAGGCGGCGCCAAAAAGGAGACCCACCAAGACCCUUGGCAUUCGCUGAGAAUGAAUCCCCAGACCGUCAGGGGUCCCCAUAUUCAAGCAAGUCUCUAUAGGAUAGAUUCCACAAUGAAAAGCAAUAAAAUACAAAUAGAAAGGCAAUGUCCCUUCAGACAACAAAGCCACAUGGAAAUGCCAAUGCCCAUUGCUGGAGUCCAGGUGGGGAGCCAGCCAGACCUCAGAGCCCCUGUCUUGUCCAGCAUAUACGUGCCUUCUCCCCAGUUUCUUCAUGAGCUGAGUGAUUCACACACAGCAGGAACAACUCAAAUGUGUCCCUAUGUAUGAUGACCAAUUACUAGAUGCCAUGAUGAUAAAAAUAACAGCUAAUAUGAAUGGGCUGCCAACCAGACGCUAUGCUAAAUGGCGUCUAUCUAUGUCCUCAUUUAAUCUUCACUUCAAAUGAACAAGGCAAAUAUUACUCCUCCUCCUCAUUUAAUACAUGAGAAUCUUCAGUUUAGUAAAUUAGACACCCCAGCAAGGGUCUGUCAAGUUCCCAAUUAUUUUCCCAUCUCUUUCAUCUCCCUCAUCUUCACCCCACAAUCCAGAGAGGCUGCUCCCCAGGAUAUGUGCUUGUACCUCCUGAUUCUGUCAGGUGAGCCAUUAAAAAUCCCAAAUUUGAAUGGAGAUCAGGAGAGACUGAAAGUUGGCUGAUGAGUCUUAGCAGCAGAGGCUGAAAAGAGGCACCAUGAACUUGGGCUGCUGAUGUCUAGCAGCCCUUGGUACCCAUGAGAGACCUUCGAGCACACACUGCUUUCCUAAGCUAGACUGAGUCCUUUCUGUGACAUGCAGGGGCCACCACGCCUCUGAUGGCAGGAGACAAGAGGGCGCCAUCCCUCCUGCCCCACUGGAGGAACUGAGAGGGAGCACCACACCCCAGGAUGACCUUAUUCUCUCUAGUCUUAGCACUUCCAUUAGCAAGAGGCAAGAAGGAGCCCCAGAAGUCACAGGUCCUCCCUCCCUCCAGUAUUCACAUCUUAGCCAUCACCAUCUGCCUUGUGACCACCAGGAGUUUAUCCCUGCUACAUCAGCCACGACAGAAGCCCAGGGCUUCAAAGCACCUGGACCAUUCCUUUUCUGAGCCUUGUCCCUGCCAUCAUCCAACCCCAGCUUCUGACAUAUUCUCCUGCCCCUGCCAGAUCACACAACCAUCUACAGCAACAACUCUGCUAUCCUCAGCUUCCUCUGGGACUUUGUCCUUCGCUGUAACUAAAUCUGAGGAUACGGCUUUUCUUGCAGCUUUUUCUUUUUUUUUUUAGGGCCGCACCUGCAGCAUAUGGAAGUUCCCAGGCUAGGGGUCCAAUCAGAGAGGCAGCUGCCAGCCUACACUGCAGCCACAGCAACAUCAGAUCCGAGCCACAUUUGCAACCUGCGUCACACCCUUAGUCCACUGAGCCAGGCCAGGGAUUGAACGUGCAUGCUCAUGGAUACCAGCUGAGUUCUUAACCUGCAAGCCACAAUGGGAACUCUUUGGAGUCCUUUCAGAUGGAGGCCAUGCUCCUCCUCACACCCUUUAAACAACCAGACACACCGUCCUCUGCUCACUACCUUUUCUAGACCUUUCUUCUUCCCAAACCCCACCUCAGAGCUUUGUCUCUUAUGUCCUCACACUGUUCUGCUCCUGGUUUCAAUCACCUACUGAGCCCUCAGCCCCAACACCACCACCCUCGUUUCUCUAAGACUCACCCUUGGCUCAUUGCCACUCCCUCUAGCUGUCCUCUUACCAAAAUUCUUGGUGAUUUUAAUAACCACAUGGAUGAUGUUGCCAAUAUUCUUCCUUUUUGAGUCCCUAAGAUCUUGUCCUCCACCUGCCUCUGCCACCCGCCCCUGUGCUCACACCCCAGACCUUAUCAUUUCUCAGUAAUGGCAACUGUGAAGAUUUUGCUCCUCUAUCCAACAGCCUCUUUAACACCCCACAUAUCUCGUGGCCACAUCCAAAACCAAACUCCUCGCCUGCCCCCUAACCUGCUCCAACUGCUGUCUUCCCAUCUCAGUUAAGAUUCUUAACUAAGCCUCCUCCUUCCAGGUCUAUAAACUCCACACUUAAAUUCUUCUCGAAGCCCACAUCCAGUCUGUUAGCAUCCCACUGGAAAGU